GACGAACGCUGGCGGCGUGCUUAACACAUGCAAGUUGAACGGGCAUACAUGGAAGCUUGCUGAAGUGUAUGUUAGUAGCGGACGGGUGAGUAAUGCAUGAGAAGCUGCCAUUGGGAGGGGGACAACAGUUGGAAACGGCUGCUAAUACCCCGUAUGCCGAAAGGUAAAAGGGAGCAAUCCGCCUGAUGAGGUGCUCAUGUCCUAUCAGCUGGUUGGUGGGGUAACGGCCUACCAAGGCGACGACGGGUAGCCGGCCUGAGAGGGUGAACGGCCACACUGGAACUGAGAUACGGUCCAGACUCCUACGGGAGGCAGCAGUGGGGAAUAUUGGGCAAUGGGGGAAACCCUGACCCAGCGACGCCGCGUGAGGG
rnacentral:rRNA from 1 species